ACGUAGGGGGCGAGCGUUAUUCGGAAUUACUGGGUGUAAAGGGUAUGUAGGCGGCCCUUCAAGUCGCGUGUCAAAGUCCAGUGCUCAACGCUGGGAGUGCACGCGAUACUGAAGGGCUUGAGGGCGGGAGAGGUGAGCGGAAUUCCCGGUGUAGCGGUAGAAUGCGUAGAGAUCGGGAGGAACACCGAAGGCGAAGGCAGCUUUCUAGGCAGUAUCUGACGCUGAUAUGCGAAAGUGUGGGGAGCAAACAG
rnacentral:rRNA from 1 species